rnacentral:misc_RNA from 2 species
AGCAGCCGCGGUAAUUCCAGCUCCAAUAGCGUAUAUUAAAGUUGUUGCAGUUAAAAAGCUCGUAGUUGAAUUUCGGGAUUGACGUGAUGGUCGUGCCUUACGGGGUAUGAACUGUUGCAGUCAAUUUCUCACCUUCUGGAGAAAUAUGAUGUCCUUAAUUGGGUGUCAUAUGGAACCAGAACUUUUACCUUGAAAAAAUUAGAGUGUUUAAAGCAGGCUUAUUGCUCGAAUACAUUAGCAUGGAAUAAUAAAAUAGGACGGCAUGGUUCUAUUUUGUUGGUUUCUAGGAUCACCGUAAUGAUUAAUAGGGAUAGUUGGGGGCAUUAGUAUUCAAUUGUCAGAGGUGAAAUUCUUGGAUUUAUUGAAGACUAACUACUGCGAAAGCAUUUGCCAAGGAUGUUUUCAUUAAUCAAGAACGAAAGUUAGGGGAUCGAAGACGAUCAGAUACCGUCGUAGUCUUAACCAUAAACUAUGCCGACUAGGAAUCAGACGAUG